AGUUUAAGCUCAUAUCAUUAGAGUUCUAGUGGAAACAUGGAAGGUUUGAACGUUUUGCGAAAAUGGUUGAUAGGCCUAUUUCGGGCAGCGAUAACUCCUUGAUCGGUUUGGAAUUUUGGAAGGUACUAUCAAUGAAGUUGUAGUAUGUAGAAAUACCUUUCUAACGAUAUAAGGAUCAAGCCAAUCAGAGAUCGGAGCAAGGAGAUAUGAUCGUCUCAAUAUGGCUAAUAGUAAGGCACUUGAAAUCCUAUAGAAUCGGCUAAGUUUUUGAUACGUCUGACUUCCAAUCAAAUUUCAUGAAAAUCCGUUGGGAAUUUGAGAAAACUUCCUUGAUAAAAGUUGUAGCCCUUUGAAAUAGCUUUCCAACGGUAUCUUACGGGGGUCAAACGGACAUCUGUGCAAAGAGUUAUGCCCAUUUUACUGAAGCCUGUUCGCUGGAAAUUCUGCCAGCGUAACGGCGACGUUACGGGCCGUAUUUCGUGUUACGGUCCGUAACAGUGGACCGUAACGUCCCGAAAAUUUCCAGAAACUCACUGGAAAUUUUCACCAAGAUACGGUACCAAGUUACGGUCCGUAUCUCGUGUUACGGGACCGUAACAGUGACCGUAUCUUGGUCCGUAUAUACGUUUCGGGUCACCUGACUUCGGGAGGCCAUAACCCUAUCAUAACUUGGGAAUUUGGGAAAACUCAAAGAACGAAAGUUGUAGAUAAUUGAAAAACCUUUCCAACCAUAGGUUGUGGGUUCACAGGAGACGUCGGGAUAAGGAGAUAUGGAUGUUUUAAGACAGCAAGGUCCCAACCCGUUUUCAAGUUGGGUCAACCCAUUUUCCCCUUGGUAUAUAAAGAAAAUAUUACCCUAACAGCCCAUUUUUCCUCCAAAACUCAGAUUUUAGAGAGAGGAAGUGAGAGAGAAGGGAAAUUAGAGAGAGAAAGUAGAAAAUCAACCAAGUUUAAGGCCCCGAAUCCCAAAGCUCGUGAAGGAAAAAGUGUAGUACAAGUCGUUGUCGUCAUUUUAAGCCCAAGAUCGGACUUGGGGGUGUUGAUUUCGUGGUGACUACCCAAAAGAUUGAAGUUGAAGGGGGUGAAGGACAUUGUGAUACGCCCAAAAGCGGAAGGUUAAGGUACUGAUAUACAGGACGACACAUCUGCUCAGUAGGACAGCAUUCGUAUCAGCUUAUUUGUGAGCCCCAUCUCAUUCGGGGUUUAGUCAACUUUUAUCUUAUGAUUAGUUAUGCAUCUAAAGGUAUGUUGGGGGCCUUGUCCCAGUAAGUAUGUUUUUCAGUCAGACUCAUGAUAGAGGUUUCAUAGACUAGAACAGACAGUUAUGUCAUGUCAGAUAAUCGAAGUCGCAUAGCCAUUUUGGCUCACUCAUGUUUAAACAAGUACUUUAUUAAGUAUUAUGACUUAUUAUGUUUUAUAAAGGCUCAUCAUGCAUUCACGUUAUAUUCCGCUUAUGUUAUGCAUCAUGAUGAUUCAGCAAGUCAUGUGGUUCGCUCGGUCACAUGUAGUCAGGCACCGAGUGCCGUGUUACGUCCAGGCCAUGGUUCGGGGCGUGACACACUCGACCCUCUCCAGACCCUACAUUGUGAGACUCUACUGGGUACGUUAUUGUUGUUGUUGCAAGCACCGGCUAGGGAGACCGAGAAGUUGGAGACGCUGCAGAGGAACUUCCUACGGGAUUCAGAGGAUAAACUAGAUAGGAAAUAUCAUCUAGUCAACUGGGACAUUGUCACCUCACGGAAGUAGUGGCAAGGACUUGGGUUAAAGGAUCUCAGAUUGCUUAACAAGGCGUUACUGUGUAAAUGCAUGGGGAUAUUCGGAACUGGGAGCAGGCUCUGCUGGAAGGAGGUUAUACAAGAAAAGU